rfam:Triticum aestivum genome assembly, contig: Triticum_aestivum_CS42_TGACv1_scaffold_404189_5BL
CAAAUACUCCCUCCGUCCGGAAAUACUUGUCGGAGGAAUGGAUGUAUCUAGACGUAUUUUAGUUAUAGAUACACCCAAUUUUAUCCAUCUCUCCAACAAGUAUUUCGGGACGGAGGGAGUAUAAA